AGAAGAUCAGGGAGCGCUCUUCUUCUUCUUCUUCUUCUUCUUCUUCUUUUAUGGCACGCGGUGUUGCCCUCAUGGCACUCAUCUGCUGUUGGUUAGCAUGCUCGGCGGCGGCCCAAGUUGUUCCGGACGGACGCCGUGAGCCAAGGAGUCCGCCGUCGCCACUGCCAGGGAACCAGAACCCGGUGGAGGCUCCAGCCGAGAUUGCGUCGCCACCACCGCCUAUGGAGACAAUGGCGCUUGCGCCGCACCGCAAGACCCUGCAGCAGGCUUUUUUGCGCGUUCCUCAUCUAUGAAGUACUGUCGCUCCGAUAUGUUCUUGUCUAUGCAUGUACGGUUGAUGAUAGUGCCAAUUAAGCUAAUAAAUAUAAGACCACAGGACGUGUAAUCUUACGUUCUUGGUGAUGAGGCCUGUUUGCUGUGUUGCCGACUGAAAAAAAAAGUGCACCCGAAGAAGUGCGGUGAGGUUC